GCUCCUUCCUUCGAAAGCCAUGACCCUUGGCCUCAAACAGCGAUAUCCAUUGUUCUUUGUCCCAAAUCUCACAAGCAGCAUCCCCAUGGCCUCCCUCACUCCUUCCCCAUGGCUUCUCUCACUCCUCCCCCCAUGGCCUCUCUGCCACGCUGGUUGCUCGCCCGCCACUGACGCCUCCUCCCCAAAGAAGGCCACAGACGGAUCCUCCACAACCACACAGCCGCUAUGUCCCGUUGUUCCGUGGCUGAUCCGGCCGUCACCGGCCUUGCGGCCCUCGGAUGUGUCACCUCCAGAUCCGGAAGCCUGGAGCUCGCUACCCCAACCACAAGUCGGAGAUGGUGGGGGUUUCGCCGUUUCUGUACUUCCCUCUGGGCCUCUACGCAGACCAGUCGAUCUAGCACUUCCAUCGUGCACCAGCCCUCCACAGGCUCCUCAAGUUCCACAAAUGCGUGGCUGAUCCGGUUAUCACCGGCUCGCGGCCCUUGGAUGUGGCAGCUCCGGAUAUCAUACGGGGAGGUCAGGUACUUUACAGGGCACAUUUUUUUGGAAAGCCAAUGGGACUGCAGAGUCAGUUGAAAAUGCUGGUUUACUAGCUCUGACACAUGUAGGCAGUUGGAGAGUAGUGCAAAUAUUUACUGGCUUCGUAAUUUUGUUUUCUACCCCUGCACCUCGUAUCAAGCACAGGAAUUUAGUCAGCCUUCAAGGAUUCUCUUCUACGAGUACAUGGAAAAUGCCGGCGAUGGCGACGCCCCAGGGCGCCGUUCCCCUUCUUGAAGGCAUCGUGGUGGAGCUCUGCGAGGGCGACAAGGUCGUUUUGGCGCAGUUCUCUGAGAGGUUCGUCUUCUUCAGCUAUGUUGGAGUGUCCCGUGUCUGCUCCUCCCAUAGUAGGCACGGCGUCUUAGCUCCGGUUUGGUUGGAUGGCAAGCUAAUCUUGGCCAGUGUGUCGACGUCCGCUUGUAUCAGCAGUGUGUCCGAGUGGGUUUGUUCUUGUGGCGUGGCGAGUGUGGCCUUGGCCCCGUGAUGUCUUUGUAUGGUUUUCGCAUGGUUUUCUCCUAAAAACUAUACACUUUCUUCUUAAUUAAUGGAUGAGGCAAAGCUUUUGCCUCAAAAAAAAAAUGCCAUUGCCGUUGACACAGUUUUCUCAAUGCUGAGACUAGUUUAGUGUCAGUGAUCCAUUCCAUCACUCGGUAACUAUCUCCCAUUCUCUUGCAGUUCCUCAGAUUAAUGUGCCAUUCUCUUCCGUCUAUUUUUGCUUUGGAUUCUGGUAGUGUCAAUAAUUGCUGGAUGAUCCCCACUAGGCUUAUGUUCCUACAAGGGGACCAACACUAUUUAAUUUUUGUUGGCACAAUUUCAAAAGUAAUCAUUUAGAUUUCCUCAAGGGAGUACAAAACUAGCGUAAGGAAAUUAUAACAAGCACCAGUUUUGUUGAAACAAGCACCGUAUGAGAUUGUACCGAGCACCCUUUCGUAAUUCUGUAGGCACCAAUUAAUCUCAAAUGGGCUCCUUCCUAUGUUGGCAGCGUCUAGAAACCUUUUUUUUAACGCACCUUUCGCUAACACGUGUGGCACUUUUCACCUAAACAUUUAUUGCUCAAAUAAAUAUGUGGUUCCCUUUUUGAUGUGGCGGUGGUGGGGAAGGAGGAGGAGAAGAAGCCAGACGGAGAGUAGGCACCGAUUUGCAAUUUAGAGUAGGCACCGAUUUAGAGUAGGCACCAAGUUUUAUUUGGAUAAAAUACCUAGGGGUGGAACUUGGUGUGCUAUUUCUGUACACUUAAGAGAUCUCGUACCUGGCAUUCAGAUAUAUCUUGUAGACCUGAUUGGAGUAAUAAAAAUUCCCUUGCAUCAUGUGCACAGUGCAUGUUUCCGACAUGUCUACUUAUUUUAUUUUAUGAAUUUGGUGUGCUAUUAUUUGAACCAAUAUUUUUCUUGUCACCAUCUAGAACUGUUGCCCUCAUUGCUCACGCUCCUUUAUAAAUCAUAUGCAUAUACCCGUAGUCCAUUUAUAUGUAGGGUACAUAAGGAUGGUAAAAAAAAUCAAGAUUUUACUAUGAUUUAAAUAUUUCAUUUCUCUCCCAAAAACAGUAAUAUAAAGAUUUCUUUUCUUUUCUUUUCUUUUGGUAAUAUUACCUCAGGAUCAUAGCAUCGAACCAUAGCCCGAAACCAAUCAUGAAUAUACUAUAAUAUUGUCUAUGAUACGUAUAGAUCUUUUUGGUUUGGGUGAUUGGAACCUUUCAGUACUUACACACGCACCUUUCAUGUACAUGUGUGGCUCUUUGCGACAACGUUUGAAUAUGUAAUUUAAGCUACACCAUUUUACUACAGAAUCAAAAUGAUUCAAUAUUGAGAGGAUUAUGGGUGAUAGUAAGAAUAACAUAGAGAGAAUGUUUGAAUGAAGAUCGAUUCUAUAUUUAGAUAAUGACAAAAUGUAUUGCCAAAAAUAAUAUUUAGGUAGCGGGAAUGCCCGUGUAUUCAUAUGGCACCAUUGAUUUGGGUGGGUGGAACCUUUUGGUAGUUACACACGCACCUUCUAUGUGCAGGUGUGGCUCUGGUGGUAAGGCUUGUGGUGUAAGGCUUGUGUAUUACUUUCUAUAUGCUUUCUAGUUGUAUGAUUUAAAUCACACCAUGGUAUCUGCAAGUCUGUGGAAAAGAAGGGGAGGAGGCUCCUGUGUCCGCUGAACAAGAGUCGAUCCAGCGCCUUGCGCCUCCUCGAUCUGGUGCUGUCCGCGCCCCUCCAUCCUAGUCUAAUUGUACUAUUCGAGUAGGAAUAGAAACCGGCUCACAACUUCCUGCCCGUCACAACCACAACGAAAGGGCGACUAGAAACAAGCAGCAGGGUCCAGUAUCAAAGGAACCAGCUGUUGCACCUAGGCGUUGUAAAAAGAAAACGGCACACAUUAGUUCUAAAAAUAAAUACACUUUCAGGCAAUAGUUCUGUUUUUUAUCCUAGGAUCUAUAGAUAAUUAUAUAUGACCAUGGCCUAACAGACAAUGAAAAUGAGUGAUUUAUCUGCUAUAAGUUCAUAAGACAACUGGAUAUCUGAGAAUCUUUGUUGCCGUCGCCUGGAACCAUUGCACCUUUUGCUCACGCACCAUUCCCUAACACGCGUGGCUCUUUUUAUAAAUCAUAUCCAAGUAUGCAAUAUCCAUAAUUAAGCAGAUUGUUUCAAAGUAUCCAAAUCAGUAAGCCGAGCAAACAGGCUAUUUCUUCAUGUGCAAAAUUUGGAGUACUAGUAAGCUGCCAAAUAUGAUUACGUGCUAUUGCUUCACUCUAUUUCUAGUUGAUUUAUUUUUGGAAGUACAGAAGCUUCAAGUUUGGAGGGCCGAAUUUCUAAUGAGGAGGGAACAGAACUGCUGCGUUUAGCUCCAAGUUUCCUGCAUU